rnacentral:rRNA from 1 species
GACGUAGGGCGCGAGCGUUGUCCGGAAUUAUUGGGCGUAAAGAGCUCGUAGGCGGUUUGUCGCGUCUGCUGUGAAAACCUAAGGCUCAACCUUGGGCUUGCAGUGGGUACGGGGCAGACUAGAGUGCGGUAGGGGUGACUGGAAUUCCUGGUGUAGCGGUGAAAUGCGCAGAUAUCAGGAGGAACACCGGUGGCGAAGGCGGUUCUCUGGGCCUUACCUGACGCUCGAGGUGCGAAAGCUAGGGGAGCGAACAGG